CGGACUGAAUAGCGCUGUACUGAGCACGCGCAUUGCGCUUCCAGCCGCCCUUGGGUGCUGCGUGCUGGGCCGGGUCGGGUUGGGGCCUUCCUACAUACUCUUGCGACCGUUGGGCUCUUCUUCGUAGAGACGGGGUUUCGCCGUCUUAGCCAGGAUGGUCUCGAUCUCCUGACCUCGUGAUCCGCCCGCCUCGGCCUCCCAAAGUGCUGGGAUUACAGGCUUGAGCCACCGCGCCCGGCCUUCUUCGAGAUGGGGCCAUGUUGCCCAGGCUAGUCUCUAACUCCUGGACUCAAGUGAUCCUCACACCUCAGCCUCCCAAAGUGCUGGGAUUACAGCGAAGAGCCACGGCACCCAGCCUUAGGCUGACUAGAGGAACUGUCUCUGAACCAUCUCUUGGACUCCAGCCUGUAUGCACAGACCCCCAGGUUAUUACCGUCUCCAGCUCCCACCCCUACCCUGAAUUCCUCAGUGCGUCGACUAUGUCACCAUCAUGGCCGAUAUCCACCCAACUGUCUGUUCUGCCUGGCACCUACAAAGACCCUUACGUGAGUCCUCUCACUUAAUCUCUCCAAUUUACUCCUCAUGACAACCUUAUAUAUACCCAUAUAAGCAGGAAACUGAAUAAUCCUUUUAUUUUUAUUUUUAUUUUUUGAGAUGGAGUCUCGCUCUGUCGCCCAGGCUGGAGUGCAGUGGCGCCAUCUCAGCUCACUGCAAGCUCCUCCUCCCGGUUCCACGCCAUUCUCCUGCCUCAGCCUCCUGAGUAGCUGGACUACAGGCACCCGCCACUACGCCCGGCUAAUUUUUUUUUGUAUUUUUAGUAGAGACGGUUUCACCGUGUUAGCCAGGAUGGUCUCGAUCUCCUGACCUCGUGAUCUGCCCGUCUCGGUCUCCUAAAGUGCUGAGAUUACAGGCGUGAGCCACCGCACCCGGCGAAUAAUUCUGUUAAAAUACAGUGUCGUUCUUGUACUAAAAACCAUCUGGCAGCUGGGCACGGUGGCUCACGCCUGUAACCCUAGCACUUUGGGAGGCUGAGGCAGGCAGAUCACUUGAGUUCAGGAGUUUGAGACCAGCCUGGCCAACAUAGUGAAACCCUUUCUCUACUAAAAAUACAAAAAUUAGCCAGGCAUGGUGGCGGGCACCUGUAAUCCCAGCUACUCGGGAGGCUGAACCAGAAGAAUUGCUUGAACCGGGAGGCAUAAGUUGCAGUGAGCCGAGAUCACACCACUGCACUCCAGCCUGGGCGACAGAAUGAGACUCUGUCUAAAAAAAAACCCCAUUUGGCAUCUCCUCUUCACACUUAGACAAAAAUCCAAAGUCCUUGUUAUGGUCUCCAAGGUCCUAUAAAUCUGGUCCUUGACCCACCACAUCCAGACAACACAUAUAGAGACGCACACACAUCUCCCAUCCUCCCUGCAUCCCUCUUCUCCCACUGCUCAAGAGGACUCUUGUCCCUUUUCUCCUCUCAGGGCCCCUCACCAUCUUAAGUUCCACUGUAGGGUGGACAAGACACAGAACUGGAAUGAGACAGGCCUGGGUUUGAUCCUGGAUCUGCUAUUUACUGUAUCACCUGGAGUAAUUUACUUCAUCGCUCUGGACUUCAAUUUCUCAUCUGUAAAACAAGGCCAGUAGACCAGGUGCGGUGGCUCACACCUAUAAUCCCAGCACUCUGGGAGGACAUACAAGAGGAUUGCUUGAGACCAGCCUGGACAGCAUAGUUAAGAACCCAACUCUAAAAAAAUAUAUGUAUUUUUUAAAUUAGCUGGUGCGGUAGCAUGCACUUGUAGUCCCAGCUACUCAGGAGGCUGAGUGGGAGGAUUGCUCCCAGCCCAGGAGAUCCAGGCUGCAGUGGGCCAUGAUCAGGCUUCUGCAUUGCAACCUCGGUGACAGCGAGACCCUGACUCAAAAUAAAAAUGGGGCCACUUAUGCCUAUUUGGUGCUUGUUUGUUUUUUGAGAUGGAAGUCUCUGUCACCCAACCUGGAGUGAAGUGGCGUGAUCUCGGCUCACUGCCACCUCCACCUUCCAGGUUCAAGUGAUUCUUAUGCCUCAUCCACUGGAGUGGGAUUACAGGCAUGCGCCACCACACCUGGCUAAUUUUUUUUUUUUUUUUUUGAGACAGAAUCUUGCUCUGUUGCCGAGGCUAGAGUGCAAUGUUGCGAUCUCGGCUCACUGCAAGCUCUGCCUCCCGGGUUCACGCCAUUCUCCUGCCUCAGCCUCCCGAGUAGCUGGGACUACAGCCCACCACCACGCCCGAUUAAUUUUUUUUGCAUUUUUAGUACAGACAGGGUUUCACCGUGUUAGCCAGGAUGGUCUCAAUCUCCUGACCUCAUGCUCCGCCCGUCUCGGCCUCCCAAAGUGCUGGGAUUACAGGCGUGAGCCACUGCGCCCAGCCAAUUUUUUUAAUUUUUAUUUUUAUUUUUAUUUUUAUUUUUAUUUUUAGUAGAGACGGGGUUUCACCAUGUUGGCCAGACUGGUCUCAAGCUCCCAACUUCAGGUGAUCUGCCCGCCUCAGCCUCCCAAAGUGGUAGGAUUACAGGCGUAGCCACUGUGCCAGCUUCAAAGAUGUUUAUCUAGGGAACAGCCAUGGAAGAUGGAGAUAGUGUCUCCCUCCAGAGCAAAGGACAGCCAUGCUUACUGGCUUUGAGUUUCCUAAGGUUAGGGUCCUCUCCCACAAUGUAAUUCACUCUGUGUGCCCGCAAUUGCCUGAGCCCAUCAGCAUCACCCCCAUGGGACUUAGGGUCAAAAGGAACUAACAGAAAUAUGUGGUGCUCAUGCUAUUUGCUGCACAGCGAUCAAGUCCUUUGUCUCUGACCCAGGACUCUCCUGUAUUCUGCCAGCAUCCUUGAACCUGACGGGCUACCUUGGUAGCUUGCAAGUGGGUAAGAUCUCAGAUGCUUCACAGUCCUUGACAUAGAAGGUGCUCACAGGUGUUGGUGGUAAAACCUAUUUGCAGCAGUCACAGUGGACAGGCCAGUGUCUGUGGAGCAGUGGGCUUGGGCUCUUUCACACCCUUCCCUUGCCAACAGAAUGUAUCACACCUUCAGCCAGGCAUGGUGGCUCACAACUUUAAUCCCAGCACUUUGGGAGGUCAAGAUGGGCAGAUCACUUGAGGUCAGGAGUUUGAGACCAGCCUGGCCAACAUGGUGAAACCCCGUCUCUACUAAAAAUACAAAAACUAGCUGGGCAUGGUGGUGCGAGCCUGUAGUUGCAGCUACUCGUGAGGCUGAGACAGGAGAAUCGCUUGAACUGGGAGGUGGAGGUUGCAGUGAGUGGAGAUCCUGCCACUGCACUCCAGCCUGGGCAACAGAGCAUGGAGUCAGGGAAGAGAAAGGAGGGAAAGGAGGAGGGGGAGGGGGAGGGAAGGGAAUCACAGUUUCAUGUGAGCCAGUCCAAACUGGUCCCUCCUUGUGGCACUGAUGACACGGCUGUAGUUAGGCUCUUUUCUGGGUGAUAGAGCACACCACAGCAGCUCAGUCAUGCACAGCUCAAUUACAGCUCCCCCUGGGCUGGCUGAUUUGGUGGGGAUGGUUCACAUGGCAACAAGUGGCCUAUGCCACAUUGCUGUGCCUCUGAAAAACGUAACUCACAUCAUUUGCAUUUUCACACUGGCACUGAAAAGGGGUCAGCUAUUCUUUUUUUUCUUUUUUUUUUUUUUGGUUUUCACUGCAAUGUGAAUCACCUUGACAUUUCUGUGAAACAGGAAGUGGCUGGAUGAUACAACAAUAAAAAUAAUCACACUCAA